rnacentral:rRNA from 1 species
GGCGACCGGCGCACGGGUGCGCAACGCGUAUACAAUCUGCCCCCUACUGCGGGAUAGCCCAGAGAAAUUUGGAUUAAGACCGCAUGGUACCGUAUUGCCGCAUGGCAUUUACGGUUAAAGGUUACGGUAGGGGAUGGGUAUGCGUCCCAUUAGCUAGAUGGCGGGGUAACGGCCCACCAUGGCGACGAUGGGUAGGGGCCCUGAGAGGGGGAUCCCCCACACUGGUACUGAGACACGGACCAGACUCCUACGGGAGGCAGCAGUGAGGAAUAUUGGACAAUGGGCGGGAGCCUGAUCCAGCCAUGCCGCGUGCGGGAAGAAGGCCCUAUGGGUCGUAAACCGCUUUUAUACGGGAAGAAACCACCCUACGUGUAGGGUACUGACGGUACCGUAAGAAUAAGGACCGGCUAACUCCGUGCCAGCAGCCGCGGUAAUACGGAGGGUCCGAGCGUUAUCCGGAAUCAUUGGGUUUAAAGGGUCCGUAGGCGGGCCGUUAAGUCAGGGGUGAAAGUCUGCGGCUCAACCGUAGAACUGCCCUUGAUACUGGCGGUCUUGAGUCAUACUGGAGUAGGCGGAAUAUGUAGUGUAGCGGUGAAAUGCAUAGAUAUUACAUAGAACACCGAUCGCGAAGGCAGCUUACUAAGUAUGUACUGACGCUGA